GUCUCUUCGGAGACAUCCGAUAAAAUUGGAACGAUACAGAGAAGAUUAGCAUGGCCCUUGCGCAAGGAUGACACGCACAAAUCGAGAAAUGGUCCAAAAAAAU
rfam:Picea glauca, whole genome shotgun sequence.